rnacentral:rRNA from 1 species
UACGUAGGGGGCUAGCGUUGUCCGGAAUCAUUGGGCGUAAAGAGCGUGUAGGCGGCCCGGUAAGUCCGCUGUGAAAGUCGGGGGCUCAACCCUCGAAUGCCGGUGGAUACUGUCGGGCUAGAGUGCGGAAGAGGCGAGUGGAAUUCCUGGUGUAGCGGUGAAAUGCGCAGAUAUCAGGAGGAACACCGGUGGCGAAGGCGGCAUCCUGGACCAACACUGACGCUGAGUGAGCGAAAGCCAGGGGAGCAAACGGG